GGGACAGUGUAUCCGAGCGGCAAAGGAGCCUGACUGUAAAUCAGGUGUGUAACAGCUUCGCAGGUUCGAGUCCUGCCUGUCCCACCA
rnacentral:tRNA from 1 species